rnacentral:rRNA from 1 species
UACGUAGGGUGCAAGCGUUGUCCGGAAUUAUUGGGCGUAAAGAGCUCGUAGGCGGUCUGUCACGUCUGCUGUGAAAACUCGGGGCUUAACCCCGGGCCUGCAGUGGGUACGGGCAGACUAGAGUGCGGAAGAGGCGAGUGGAAUUCCUGGUGUAGCGGUGAAAUGCGCAGAUAUCAGGAGGAACACCUAUUGCGAAGGCAGCUCGCUGGGACGUAACUGACGCUGAGACGCGAAAGCGUGGGGAGCAAACAGG